UACGUAGGGGGCAAGCGUUGUCCGGAAUCAUUGGGCGUAAAGCGCACGUAGGCGGUUCGUUAUGUCGGAUGUGAAAGCCCUUGGCUUAACCGAGGAAGUGCAUCCGAAACUGGCGAGCUAGAGUACGAAAGAGGAUCGCGGAAUUCCCGGUGUAGAGGUGAAAUUCGUAGAUAUCGGGAGGAACACCGGUGGCGAAGGCGGCGAUCUGGGUCGAUACUGACGCUGAGGUGCGAAAGCGUGGGGAGCAAACAGGGAUUAGAACCG
rnacentral:rRNA from 1 species